AGUUUGAUCCUGGCUCAGAUUGAACGCUGGCGGCAUGCUUUACACAUGCAAGUCGAACGGUAACAGGCCUUCGGGUGCUGACGAGUGGCGAACGGGUGAGUAAUGCAUCGGAACGUGCCCAAUCGGUGGGGGAUAACGUAGCGAAAGUUACGCUAAUACCGCAUAAGCCCUGAGGGGGAAAGUGGGGGACCGCAAGGCCUCACGCGAAUGGAGCGGCCGAUGUCAGAUUAGCUAGUUGGUGGGGUAAAGGCCCACCAAGGCGACGACGGGUAGCCGGCCUGAGAGGGUGACCGGCCACACUGGGACUGAGAUACGGCCCAGACUCCUACGGGAGGCAGCAGUGGGGAAUAUUGCACAAUGGGCGCAAGCCUGAUGCAGCGACGCCGCGUGAGUGAAGAAGGCCUUCGGGUUGUAAAGCUCUUUCGGCCGGGAAGAAAUCGCACAGGUUAAUACCCUGUGUGGAUGACGGUACCGGAAUAAGAAGCACCGGCUAACUACGUG
rnacentral:rRNA from 1 species